rnacentral:lncRNA from 12 species
CCACACCCAGACCCAUGACCCACAUCAACUGCCUUAGGGAAUAUGAGUGAAGCUGCCAAGUUUGUGAUAAUACUGUCACGCAGCCAUGGAUGAUUAAUGAGAGAAUAAGAGCAAUCCCAGGAGACCAGUGAGGCGGCAAGAGGUGGCGGUGGUCUGGACCUGGGGCCGAUGGGCAGGACAAUGAUGUUGUGGAAGUGGCUGAGGCGGUGGUCACCAUGGCGACUCCAAUGAACAAUGGAGGGGGGCUGCUCCCUGGCAACCACCCAGUGGUCUUCACCAGCAGUUCAGCAGUGUGGAUCUGCACUCCUGGGCUUCAGCACACACCAGAGUGGUUCACGUGUUUUCUGAUGUUAUGAGAGAGAGUGGAGAGGUGAGGCAGAGACCUGUGGGGUGGACGGGGGUCUUCCAGGACCCGGGAUUUCAUCUCCCCUCUCUCCAUUCAGGGCUGCUCGUGAGGGAAGAGUGCCCAGACGCAACGGGACCCCCU